GACGUAGGGCGCGAGCGUUGUCCGGAUUUAUUGGGCGUAAAGGGCUCGUAGGCGGUUUGUCGCGUCGGGAGUGAAAUCCACUGGCUUAACUGGUGGCUUGCUUUCGAUACGGGCAGACUGGAGGUAUGCAGGGGAGAACGGAAUUCCUGGUGUAGCGGUGAAAUGCGCAGAUAUCAGGAGGAACACCGGUGGCGAAGGCGGUUCUCUGGGCAUUACCUGACGCUGAGGAGCGAAAGCAUGGGGAGCGAACAGG
rnacentral:rRNA from 1 species